UGCACAAUGGGCGAAAGCCUGAUGCAGCAAUGCCGCGUGUGUGAAGAAGGCUGCGGGUUGUAAAGCACUUUCAGUAGGGAGGAAACAGUUGCGGGUUAAUAUCCCGCGACCUUGACGUUACCUACAGAAGAAGCACCGGCUAACUCUGUGCCAGCAGCCGCGGUAAUACAGAGGGUGCAAGCGUUAAUCGGAAUUACUGGGCGUAAAGCGCGCGUAGGCGGYUUGUGUCAGUGUCGGAUGU
rnacentral:rRNA from 1 species